rnacentral:lncRNA from 1 species
CUUAAUAGCUAAAAGAAACAAAUAUGUCAAUUAAGUUACAGAAGCACCAAAUCAAGGAAUUUAUUUUAGUUGUUUAUACGUUUUUGAAAAGUAAAACAUGGGAAAUACACGAAUGUGGGGUCCAUCAGAAUAUUAGUGUGUUUGGAUUAUACCUAAUGCAACUAACAUAUAUUUAAAUCGGUAUAAAUCAUCAUUGAACUGAAUUUUGAAAUUAUACUUCUC